rnacentral:rRNA from 1 species
UGGGUAGUCCGUAACGAGCGCAACCCUUGCUCCUUUUUUGCCAUCAGGUAAUGCUGGGAACUCUAAGGAGACUGCCGGUGACAAACCGGAGGAAGGUGGGGACGACGUCAAGUCAUCAUGGCCCUUACGACCUGGCUACACACGUGCUACAAUGGGCGGUACAGAGGGCUGCAAACUCGCGAGAGCAAGCCAAUCCCUUAAAACCGUUCGUAGUCCGGAUUGGAGUCUGCAACUCGACUCCAUGAAGUCGGAAUCGAUAGUAAUCGCGAAUCAGAAUGUCGCGGUGAAUACGUUCCCGGGCCUUGUACACACCGCCCGUCACACCAUGGGAGUGGAUUGCACCAGAAGUGGAUAGUCCAACCUUCGGGGGGACGUUCACCACGGUGUGGUUCAUGACUGGGGUGAAGUCGUAACAAGGUAGCCCUAGGGGAACCUGGGGCUGGAUCACCUCCUU